AUGACCCACUGCUGCUCCCCUUGCUGCCAGCCUACGACGUGCUGCAGGACCACCUGCUGUGUGUCCAGCUGCUGCCAGUCUUGUUGCCACCCCCCCAGUUGCUGCAACACAUCCUGCUGCCAACCUAGCUGCUGUGCACCCGUCUACCAGAGAACGUGCUACCAUUCCAUGUGUGUCUGCCUGCCUAGUUGCCUAGACCAGAUAUGUGGAUCCAGCUGCUGCCAGCCCUGCUGCCUGCUGCCCAGCCUACUGUGAGGCCACCUGCUGCAGGACCACUUGCUGCCAGUACACCUGUGUGACAAGCUGCUGCCAGUCUUCCUGCUGCAGCACACCCUGCUGCCAGCCCACCUGCUGUGGGUCCAGCUGUUACGGCCAAACUGGCAGUGGGUCCAGCUGCUGCCAGCCCAGCUUCUGUGCACCCAUCUACUACAGGAGAACUUGCUACCACCCCAUGUGUGUCUGCCUGACAGGUUGCCUAAACCAGAGCUAUGGAUCCAGCUGCUGCUAGCCCUGCUGCCAAUCAGCCUGUUGU
rnacentral:lncRNA from 1 species